UACGUAGGGUGCGAGCGUUAAUCGGAAUUACUGGGCGUAAAGCGUGCGCAGGCGGUUCUCCAAGUCCGUUGUGAAAGCCCCGGGCUCAACCUGGGAAUGGCAGUGGAAACUAGGGGACUGGAAUCUGGCAGAGGGGGGUGGAAUGCCGCGUGUAGCAGUGAAAUGCGUAGAGAUGCGGCGGAACACCGAUGGCGAAGGCAAUCCCCUGGGCCUGCACUGACGCUCAUGCACGAAAGCGUGGGGAGCAAACAGG
rnacentral:rRNA from 1 species